rnacentral:rRNA from 1 species
UACAGAGGGGGCAAGCGUUGUUCGGAAUUACUGGGCGUAAAGGGCGCGUCGGCGGCCUUCUCAGUCGAACGUGAAAUCCCCGGGCUCAACCCGGGAACUGCGUCCGAUACUGGAAGGCUUGAAUCCGGGAGAGGGAUGCGGAAUUCCAGGUGUAGCGGUGAAAUGCGUAGAUAUCUGGAGGAACACCGGUGGCGAAGGCGGCAUCCUGGACCGGCAUUGACGCUGAGGCGCGAAAGCCAGGGGAGCAAACGGG